rnacentral:rRNA from 1 species
UACGUAGGGGGCAAGCGUUGUCCGGAUUUAUUGGGCGUAAAGAGCGUGUAGGCGGCUAGGUAGGUCCGUUGUGAAAACUCGAGGCUCAACCUCGAGACGUCGGUUGAAACCAUCUGGCUAGAGUCCGGAAGAGGAGAGUGGAAUUCCCGGUGUAGCGGUGAAAUGCGCAGAUAUCGGGAAGAACACCCGUGGCGAAGGCGGCUCUCUGGGACGGUACUGACGCUGAGACGCGAAAGCGUGGGGAGCGAACAGG